AUGGCUGUCGUCAGCUCGUGUCGUGAGAUGUUGGGUUAAGUCCCGCAACGAGCGCAACCCUUAUCCUAUGUUGCCAGCGCGUAAUGGCGGGGACUCGUGGGAGACUGCCGGCGUCAAGUCGGAGGAAGGUGGGGACGACGUCAAGUCAUCAUGCCCCUUAUAUCCAGGGCUGCAAACAUGCUACAAUGGCCGGUACAAAGGGCUGCGAAACCGCGAGGUCAAGCGAAUCCCAUAAAGCCGGUCUCAGUUCGGAUUGGAGUCUGCAACUCGACUCCAUGAAGCUGGAGUCGCUAGUAAUCCCGGAUCAGCAACGCCGGGGUGAAUACGUUCCCGGGCCUUGUACACACCGCCCGUCACACCACGAAAGUUGGCAACACCCGAAGCCAGUGGCCCAACCCUUUUGGGGGGGAGCUGUCGAAGGUGGGGUUAGCGAUUGGGGUGAAGUCGUAACAAGGUAGCCGUACCGGAAGGUGCGGCUGGAUCACCUCCUUUCUAAGGAGUCACCUCCGACCAUGAAGCCAUCACGGUUUCAUGAGUCAGACGGAGAUUUCCAGUUGGAGCACUGGUGCUGUCGUUCAGCUCGACUAAAGAGUUUGUAGAUACCACCCAAUCCUUCGGGACUUGGGCCGGAGACUCGCUCGAUAGUUCUGAACGUAGCUCGUUCUCUGUUCUGCUGCCGAGGAGCGCUGUGCGCGUCUGGUGCCGCCCGUAGAAAGGCGACUCACGGCGUGGCUGCGCUGCGUUGAAGCGGCCCGUUUAAUUAUGGGACUUCGGCUGCACUUUGAGAACUGCAUAGCGAUGCACGAGCAUCUUGAUUUAUUGAUCCUUGCGGGCACCAGCCUUAUAGGACGAUGAAUCUUUUGAUUCGUUGACUUUCAUAGGGUUUCGACCCUGUAUAAGUUGGCGAAUCUACCGUUCGUUCCAUUUCAACACGACCUCACCUCGAGCCGAGUCUGAGUCCGUGUGGAACGACGGUUUUGUUUUUUCGAAUCUGAGUAUCGAUAUACCCAAGCUACGAAGAGCCAAUGGUGAAUGCCUUGGCGCCGAACACCGAAGAAGGACGCGACUGGCUGCGAUAAGCCACGGGGAGCCGCCGAGUAGGCCUUGAUCCGUGGAUGUCCGAAUGGGGAAACCCGG
rnacentral:sRNA from 1 species